rnacentral:lncRNA from 1 species
ACUGCUUUGUUACUGUCUUUUUUGCUUCAGAUGUUCAAGAGAAAUUGAUCACACAGCUGUCAAACCUGCGCAGGUAUCUGAGGAAAGAGCAAGAUAGACUAAAUGGUCAGCUGGAUCAGACAGCUACACUAGAUUUUAACUACGCUCCACCCCACAGAAGUCGGCCCAGAGUGGAUGCUUUUCCCUCUGAGGAGUCCUCAGCACAGAGCCCUUCCUCAGCUGCUGCACAUGCUAACAAGGAAAACAUCAGGGAGUUCAACCAGCUUAAAUACAGAGACACCACAUCUCGUGAGGAGGUCAGAGCCAUGUUCCCUGACCCUCCCACUGAUGGACAAAGUCUGGACAUCCAGCAACAGGC